CCCUGAUGUUGUAUGCUGUUGAAAAUGGUAAAGUCAAUGAGGGAAGGGAAGGCAGAUGAAGGACAUAGUAGUAGAAGAUUUACCUCUUCCAAUUGAAGACGAAGAUGGCCAUCAAGAAGAGUCCAUGUCAACUGCUGACAGUGAAGAGCCAGGCAGUCUGACCCAUGAUAGGAGGAGCCAAGUGAAGAGCCAGCCAGUCUGACCCAUGAUAGGAGGGAGCCAAGUGAAGAGCCAGCCAGUCUGACCCAUG